CCGCGGUAAUACGGGGGGUGCAAGCGUUAAUCGGAAUUACUGGGCGUAAAGCGCGCGUAGGCGGUCUGGUCAGUCGGACGUGAAAUCCCCGGGCUCAACCUGGGAAUUGCAUUCGAUACUGCCAAACUAGAAUGUUGGAGAGGGAGGUGGAAUUUCCGGUGUAGCGGUGAAAUGCGUAGAUAUCGGAAGGAACACCAGUGGCGAAGGCGGCUUCCUGGCCAAACAUUGACGCUGAGGUGCGAAAGCGUGGGGAGCGAACAGGAUUAGAUACCCUGGUAGUCCACGCCGUAAACGAUGAGAACUAGAUGUUGGGAGGAUUUUGCCUCUCAGUGUCGCAGCUAACGCGUUAAGUUCUCCGCCUGGGGAGUACGGCCGCAAGGCUAAAACUCAAAGGAAUUGACGGGGACCCGCACAAGCGGUGGAGCAUGUGGUUUAAUUCGAUGCAACGCGAAGAACCUUACCUGCCCUUGACAUUGACAGAACCCUUUGGAGACAGAGGGGUGCUUCGGCCUGGAAAACAGGUGCUGCAUGGCUGUCGUCAGCUCGUGUCGUGAGAUGUUGGGUUAAGUCCCGCAACGAGCGCAACCCUUAUCCUUAGUUGCCAGCACAUAAUGGUGGGAACUCUAGGGAGACUGCCGGUGACAAACCGGAGGAAGGUGGGGACGACGUCAAGUCAUCAUGGCCCUUAUGGGCAGGGCUACACACGUGCUACAAUGGCCGGUACAGAGGGUUGCCAACCCGCAAGGGGGAGCCAAUCCCAGAAAGCCGGUCGUAGUCCGGAUCGGAGUCUGCAACUCGACUCCGUGAAGUCGGAAUCGCUAGUAAUCGCGGAUCAGCAUUGCCGCGGUGAAUACGUUCCCGGGUCUUGUACACACCGCCCGUCACACCAUGGAAGUUUGUUGCACCAGAAGUAGGUAGCUUAACCUUCGGGAGGGCGCUUACCACGGUGUGGCAAAUGACUGGGGUGAAGUCGUAACAAGG
rnacentral:rRNA from 1 species